rnacentral:tRNA from 1 species
GCCGGAUUGGCGGAAUCGGCAGACGCGGAGCACUCAAAAUGCUUUGUUCGAAAGGACGUGUGGGUUCAAGUCCCACAUCCGGCA